UUUGGGUCUGAUGAUUCAGUUGGGGUGGUAUUAGACGAGGAGGAGGAGGCUUGGGGUUCGCAAUUAUUGUUUGAUAUCUGUUGGUGAUCACCAUUAAAAUUGGGUUGAUGAUCAUACAUAAUGUUGUGACAAGGUGCUGCUGCUCCUGGGUUUUCUUGUUUAUGGAGAGGCUCAUGUGUAACUGGAUCAAUUCCCAUCUUAAUCAGCUUUUUCUUGAU
rnacentral:misc_RNA from 1 species